GGGUACGAUCAUACCAACACUAAUGCACCGGAUCCCACCAGAACUCCGUAGUUCAGCAUGCUUGGGCGAGAAUAGUUCUAAGAUGGGCUUGUCUUAUGACUU
rnacentral:rRNA from 1 species